rnacentral:rRNA from 1 species
UACCAGCACCCCGAGUGGUCGGGACGAUUAUUGGGCCUAAAGCAUCCGUAGCCGGUCAUGCAAGUCUUCCGUUAAAUCCAGCCGCUCAACGGUUGAGCUGCGGAGGAUACUACGUGGCUAGGAGGCGGGAGAGGCAAGCGGUACUCAGUGGGUAGGGGUAAAAUCCUUUGAUCCAUUGAAGACCACCAGUGGCGAAGGCGGCUUGCCAGAACGCGCUCGACGGUGAGGGAUGAAAGCUGGGGGAGCAAACCGG